UACGUAGGGGCCUAGCGUUGUCCGGAUUUAUUGGGCGUAAAGAGCUCGUAGGCGGUUCGGUAAGUCAGGUGUGAAAUCUCCACGCUCAACGUGGAGGAGCCACCUGAUACUGCCGUGACUCGAGUCCGGUAGGGGAGUCUGGAAUUCCUGGUGUAGCGGUGAAAUGCGCAGAUAUCAGGAGGAACACCGAUGGCGAAGGCAGCCCCCUGGGCUAACACUGACGCUGAGGCACGAAAGCGUGGGGAGCAAACAGG
rnacentral:rRNA from 1 species